rnacentral:rRNA from 1 species
AGCGAACGCUGGCGGCAGGCCUAACACAUGCAAGUCGAACGAUCCUUCGGGAUAGUGGCGGACGGGUGAGUAACACGUGGGAAUGUGCCUUUUGGUUCGGAACAACUCAGGGAAACUUGAGCUAAUACCGGAUGUGCCCUUCGGGGGAAAGAUUUAUCGCCAUUAGAGCGGCCCGCGUCUGAUUAGCUAGUUGGUGGGGUAAAGGCCUACCAAGGCGACGAUCAGUAGCUGGUCUGAGAGGAUGAUCAGCCACAUUGGGACUGAGACACGGCCCAAACUCCCACGGGAGGCAGCAGUGGGGAAUCUUGCGCAAUGGGCGAAAGCCUGACGCAGCCAUGCCGCGUGAAUGAUGAAGGUCUUAGGAUUGUAAAAUUCUUUCACCGGGGACGAUAGUGACGGUACCCGGAGAAGAAGCCCCGGCUAACUUCGUGCCAGCCGCCGCAGUAA